AUCCAGCUGACGAGUCUUAAGUAGGACGAAACGAGCCUUCUGGAU
rfam:Schistosoma margrebowiei strain Zambia genome assembly, scaffold: SMRZ_scaffold0003191